rnacentral:rRNA from 1 species
UGGGACGAGAAGACCCUAUAGAAUUUAAUAUAAUCUUUAAAUUUAUUUGAGGGAAAGUAUAUUUUAUUUUAUUGAUUAUAUUUUAUUGGGAGGAUAAUUAAAUAGGGUUAACUUUAAUUUUAAUAAAUAAUUUAACAUUAAUUAAUGAAAUUUAACAAAGGAAUGAUUAUUAUAAUUUAGUAAAAAAAAUUUUUUUAUAAUAAUUAUUAGAAAAAUUAAUUACCUUAGGGAUAACAGCGUUAUAUUUUUAGAAAGAUCAUAUUGAUAAAAAUGAUUGCGA